rnacentral:lncRNA from 10 species
GCUCCUUGAACUAUGAAGUUUGCAUGUGCGUGUCUGUGGAACUCCAGCCUGUACACCCUCCAAACAGCAGCUCUUUGGCCAUUCUUUGGCCUAGGGUUGUAAAUACUGUUGGUUGGGUCAUCUGUCCUUAGGAGAACUGACUCAGGGGAGAGGCCUGAGCAGACCCUGGAAGAGGUCUUGUGUUGUGUAUCUAAAGGAAUUCAGAGACAAGACAGCUUUGGCCCGCAAGAGUAAUUCAACUAAAA